CCUACGGGAGGCAGCAGUGGGGAAUAUUGGGCAAUGGGCGCAAGCCUGACCCAGCCAAGUCGCGUGAAGGAAGAAGGCUCUCGGGUUGUAAACUUUCUUUGAUAGGGAAGUGUAGUAGACGGUGCCUGACGAAUAAGCUAUGCUUAAUUACGUGCCAGCAGCUGCGGUAAUACGGAGGUGGCAAGUGUUGUCCGGAUUUAUUGGGUGUACAGGGUGUGUAGCGGGGUUGAGAAGUCAGAUGUGAAAUUUUGCGGCUUAACCGCAGAACUGCAAUUGAGACUGGUGAUCUUGAGUACAGUAGAGGUAGGUGGAAUUCGUAGUGUAGCGGUGAAAUGCGUAGAUAUUAGGAAGAACUCCGGUUGCGAAGGCAGUCUACUGAACAGCAACUGACGGUGAGGCUCGAAAGUGUGGGUAUCAAACAGGAUUAGAUACCCUGGUAGUC
rnacentral:rRNA from 1 species